rnacentral:lncRNA from 1 species
AAAAAAAAAAAAACAGCAAUUCCAACCGUUUGAACAGUUUGACCCCUUCAUUACAGGGUAUCGACUACCUGCACUGCAGCGCCCUGCGUUCCCACGGCUGCUUGUCCUCCUUCAGCUGUGUAGUGGACAGUCCCUCUGUCCUAAAGGUCCCUGACUUCGGGCUUAGUGCUGUGAGACACUCUGGGAGCUCAAGGGACAACUCGAGCCAGGACCACUGGACCUCGCUGUUGUGGAGGGCUCCUGAAAUCCUGAAGCUAAUGGCACUCAGAAGGGGGAUGUGUAGAGUUUUGUCAUCAUCGCACAGGAAGUGGUGUACCGCCGAGGACCCUUCUACAUCCCCAGCAGCUCUCUGGGGGCCAGAGUGGGAGAAAAUAAGUUGUGAAGUUGCCAGAUCUUGCACCUGUCCCAACUCCACUUCUGCGUGACGAACCAGCAAAGUCCUCCCGCCUUUUAAGCCUACCUUUUAAAAUCCUUCUCGGCUUUUCCCUGUAUUUUUAGAUCAGUGGCUGCUCAGCUCAUAGCUGGGAGACGGUCCGCGUCGAGACCUAUGAAUGCGUCACUGUUUAUUUCAGUGACAUUGAGGGUUUCACCGCCAUGUCCGCCUCCCUCAAACCAAUGCAGGUGAUGAUAGACAUUGAAACAAGCCUUUAAACAGUGGUGGCAUGAAAAAACAUAUAUAUUCAGUGUUUAUAAAGGACUUAUACUGUAUGUAAUUGAUUGCAGGUGUGGCCUGAUCAGUCACUGGGUCAUAAGUGAGAUAGCAGUGUUAAAUGUUCAGUGUUAAUAGGACACUAUGCAGUGCACCAUUUACUCAUGCUAGUGUUGUUUAUUAACUCAUUAGUGUUGUAGCACUAAAACCUAAAGUGUUAAUUUUACACCGUUUGGAGUAUAUAUAUGGUCCCACACUACAAAAAGUAAAUAUUACAUUAUUAAAGUGUUAAACCUAGUAUUAAUGACAUUAAAUGGUGAAAAUGAAAUAAAA